UGGGGAAUAUUGGACAAUGGGCGCAAGCCUGAUCCAGCAAUGCCGCGUGUGUGAAGAAGGCCUGCGGGUUGUAAAGCACUUUAAGCCGGAAAGAAGGGGUGGUGGUUAAUACCCGCCAUCAUUGACGUUACCGGCAGAAUAAGCACCGCUAACUCCGUG
rnacentral:rRNA from 1 species